rnacentral:rRNA from 1 species
UAAGGAAUAUUGGACAAUGGAGGCAACUCUGAUCCAGCCAUGCCGCGUGAAGGAAUAAGGCCCUAUGGGUUGUAAACUUCUUUUAGACGGGACAAAACCCCUUUACGUGUAAAGGGUUGAUGGUACUGUCAGAAUAAGCAUCGGCUAACUUCGUGCCAGCAGCCGCGGUAAUACGAAGGAUGCAAGCGUUAUCCGGGAUUAUUGGGUUUAAAGGGUGCGUAGGCGGACUAAUAAGUCAGUGGUGAAAGCCUGCAGCUUAACUGCAGAAUUGCCAUUGAUACUGUUAGUCUUGAGUACAGUUGAGGUAGGCGGAAUGUGUCAUGUAGCGGUGAAAUGCUUAGAUAUGACACAGAACACCGAUUGCGAAGGCAGCUUGCUAAGCUGUAACUGACGCUGAGGCACGAAAGCGUGGGGAGCAAACA